rnacentral:rRNA from 1 species
GUCUACAGCCAUGCCACCCUGAAUGUGCCCCCUGAAUGUGCCCAAUCUCCUCUGAUCUCAGAAACUAAGCAGAGUCAGACCUGCUUAGUACUUGGAUGGGAGACCACCUUGGAAUACCAGGUACUGUAGGCA